rnacentral:rRNA from 1 species
UUGAACGCUGGCGGCAGGCCUAACACAUGCAAGUCGAACGGUAACAGGAAGAAGCUUGCNCCUUUGCUGACGAGUGGCGGACGGGUGAGUAAUGUCUGGGAAACUGCCUGGAUGGAGGGGGAUAACUACUGGAAACGGUAGCUAAUACCGCAUAACGUCGCAAGACCAAAGAGGGGGACCUUCGGGCCUCUUGCCAUCGGAUGUGCCCAGAUGGGAUUAGCUAGUAGUGGGGUAACGGCUCACCUAGGCGACGAUCCCUAGCUGGUCUGAGAGGAUGACCAGCCACACUGGAACUGAGACACGGUCCAGACUCCUACGGGAGGCAGCAGUGGGGAAUAUUGCACAAUGGGCGCAAGCCUGAUGCAGCCAUGCCGCGUGUAUGAAGAAGGCCUUCGGGUUGUAAAGUACUUUCAGCGGGGAGGAAGGGAGUAAAGUUAAUACCUUUGCUCAUUGACGUUACCCGCAGAAGAAGCACCGGCUAACUCCGUG